AUUGAACGCUGGCGGCAGGCCUAACACAUGCAAGUCGAGCGGAUGAAGGGAGCUUGCUCCUGGAUUCAGCGGCGGACGGGUGAGUAAUGCCUAGGAAUCUGCCUGGUAGUGGGGGAUAACGUCCGGAAACGGGCGCUAAUACCGCAUACGUCCUGAGGGAGAAAGUGGGGGAUCUUCGGACCUCACGCUAUCAGAUGAGCCUAGGUCGGAUUAGCUAGUUGGUGGGGUAAAGGCCUACCAAGGCGACGAUCCGUAACUGGUCUGAGAGGAUGAUCAGUCACACUGGAGCUGAGACACGGUCCAGACUCCUACGGGAGGCAGCAGUGGGGAAUAUUGGACAAUGGGCGAAAGCCUGAUCCAGCCAUGCCGCGUGUGUGAAGAAGGUCUUCGGAUUGUAAAGUACUUUAAGUUGGGAGGAAGGGCAGUAAGUUAAUACCUUGCUGUUUUGACGUUACCAACAGAAUAAGCACCGGCUAACUUCGUG
rnacentral:rRNA from 1 species